rnacentral:rRNA from 1 species
AGUGAACGCUGGCGGUAGGCCUAACACAUGCAAGUCGAACGGCAGCACAGUAAGAGCUUGCUCUUACGGGUGGCGAGUGGCGGACGGGUGAGGAAUACAUCGGAAUCUACUUUUUCGUGGGGGAUAACGUAGGGAAACUUACGCUAAUACCGCAUACGACCUACGGGUGAAAGCAGGGGAUCUUCGGACCUUGCGCGAUUGAAUGAGCCGAUGUCGGAUUAGCUAGUUGGCGGGGUAAAGGCCCACCAAGGCGACGAUCCGUAGCUGGUCUGAGAGGAUGAUCAGCCACACGGGAACUGAGACACGGUCCAGACCCCUAGGGGGGGCAGCAGGGGGAAAUAUGGGAAAAGGGGCGAAAGCCUGACCCAGCCAUACCGCGGGGGUGAAGAAGGCCUUCGGGUUGUAAAGCCCUUUUGUUGGGAAAAAAAAGAAGCAGGUUAAACCCCCGCUGUUCGGACGGUACCCAAAAAAAAAGCACCGGCUAACUUGGG